ensembl:snRNA U6 U6 spliceosomal RNA
GUGCUUACUUUUGCAGCACAUACACUGAAAUUGGAAUGAGACAGAGAAGAUUGGCCCCUCUGCAGGGAUGACAUGCAAAUUCGUGAAGCAUUCCAUAUUGGG